rnacentral:lncRNA from 10 species
AUUCCAUUGUGCUUCUAUUUCCAACCAAGCUGAACUUGUGUCUGACACUUGUUAAAAAAUUGGGAAUCAAGAAACUUUCUUUUCCUCUGAUGUCGAAAGCUGCUGAUUCCUUGUCUAAGAUGUGUCCGUUUAAAAAACAAAAAACCAAAGCUAGCUGCUGAUUAAUCAAUGUCUGCUAUGUGCCGUUGUCAUCAUCUCACAGCUGUACUUAUCGUCAGCAGAGGCCCUAGGAAGCUGACCAGCAGAGCAUCAGUACGCAACAGCGGCUCUGCAUAUCUGGAAUGCCCACUUCUCCACCUGUCCAGUCAUAUAUUUAAUUCAGACUCUUGGCUUCCAUCAUGAAACGUUCCUCAAAUUCUCUGAGCCCUUGCCUCCCCAACAUGAACUCUCUUCACAGUUAGAAAAGAAAUAAAAAACAAACUCCAGAACUUUCAAACAUAAGAGGAAUGUAAGUUUCCAGAUUCAAGAAUACACCGAAUGCCCAGCAAGAUGGAUUGGGGGAAACCUACAUUAAAGAACAACACCGUGAUUUAUGAAAACACCAAGCUUAAAGAAGAAAUCCUAAAAAGUUUCUAGAGAAAGGAAACAAAAGAUCAGAAAUGAGCAUGGCUUUAGAUUUCUCAACAGCAACCUUGAGAAUUAGGUGACAAUGGUGUAUGCCUUCAAAGUUCUAAGGAAAAUGAUUUCCACCCAGAAUUCUAUGCCUUCAAGGCCUCCAGCAUGGUACCAUACAGAUGAGAACUUAAUGAAGAAGGAUGCUUCUGAGUAAGAUUUAGUCAUCUCCUUGAAGAUACUUUUCUCCUUUGGAAAAGGAAGAAUCAAACUUUCCUGAACUUCUCAGGGAGAACAUGGUGGUUGACUUUGUUUCUUCUGUCAAAGGACAUCAUUAUAGUACCAAGGUGACAUCGAGGAGGUUUUAACUCUCCCAAAAAGUUGCACCAGAGGAUUUGGGGAGGUGUAGGAUGUGACAGCCAGCCCAGAAGCAGGGCUAGUAAUUAUAAAAUGGGUGACGAUGGAAAAAUUGCUCUCUUCUUCGGGGUUACUUGCCCAUCAAAGAACAGCAAGGACUGGGCAUGUGAAAUGCCAAUGGUUUGGCUAAUCAACACGCCACAGCUUAGCUGGAGUCACUGUACUUGAAUGUGGUUUUGUUUUUAAUGCUGUGUUCUUGUGGGCAUGGAAAGAGUUACAGCCAACUGCCCCAGGUAUGGUAACUAGAGGCGGUGGUGGAAAUGUAAAUGUAAGGACCCUUUGUCUUCUCCCCUCCAGUAGUAAAGGGGACGAAAGAGAGUGGAGAAGGAUUGCACUCUUCUGGUGGACUUUCUCCUGUGAUGCACAGAAAUGCACGGAUAACGUUAAAAAUAUUUUAAAUUGUAUUUAUUUAUAUAUUUUAGAGAUGGGGUCUUGCUAUGUUGCCCAGGCUGGUCUCAAACUCCUGACCUCAAGUGAUCCUCUUGCCUUGGCUUCCGUGGUACCUACCUGUAAUCCAAGCUAUGAUCGCUUGAACCCAGGCAUUUGAGAUGAGACUGGGCAACACAGUGAGACCCCCAUCUCUAAAAAAGUAUCGUCUUGUUUUGUGUGACCUGGCCAUCAACACAUAUUUACAAAAAAGAGAUAUCUCUCUUUUAUUAUCAUAAAGCAUAGACUGAAUUUUAGAUAGGUUUUGAAUCUCUCUGUGCCUGAAUUUCUCUCAAAAUUAAUAGUGCCUCAUAUUUGAUAAAGCACUAAGUUUUCUUUUGAAAGGUGCACAGAAAACUCUGCAUUGCCUAAAUUAUAAUUUUCUCAACUAUUUGACCCAACCUAUCACUGUUGUAGUAUUCUUUAACAGAGCAUUCUGUUACCAUGAGUAAGGGAGUUGCUGCUUUUUUUUUUUUUUAAAUCAAUCAAGAACUACAGAUAAGUACUUUUAAAAUCAGACCAUGACUGGGGAAAGCAGGAGUCAACGAGUCAGUUUGAGUCUGUUAUCAGCUCUGCCUGAGACUGGCCUUUUAUAUCACUCUGAGGAGUAAUGCUGUUUGUUUUCAGCAUGAAAUACAUAAGAGAAAAAAUUAAGUAGGGAACAGGAGAAUAAUAUUUGGAUAGGGUAGUUUUAUUAUUUUGUCUGACACAUUAUGUCCCCUAGCCCUCAGUAUAUCCAGGGAUCAUCUAUGCUUAAAGUUAAAUACAAGAUAACUUCCCAAGCCAAGUACAAGUGAUUUUAAAAAAUAAUAAAAUGCCUUAUAGGAUUACCUACUACAGUUCUUAAGUUGCCCAGGAAACAUCACAUCACUGCAUGCAGUGUCAGAGACAUCGGUAAAUCCUCCGCCAACAAGUAUUUUGAAUAUAGCAGAAAAACACAGAUGUUUUAGACCUUCUGAGAUGCAUUAAGUUCUGGAAACUGGAAGCCAUAAAAGACAAAAUCGUGGGAGGGGAAUUGCUGGGAGCACCCUGGGAAAGCAGCCACCCUGGAGUUGAGUGACCUCUCUUUGAUCUCUAGCUUUCCCAAGUCACUUUCCCAUGCAUUUCCUCAACACUGGUUUCAGUUCUUUAGAUCUAAUAAAAGCCUUUGGGGUUGGGAGCAUCACUGAGUAGAGUGCUGAUUCAGGCCAAGCUUGGAGGGAGGAGUGGAGCAUUCAAUGUGUUUACAGUAAAGUGUGUGUGUGUGUGUGUGUGUGUGUGUGUGUGUGCGCGCUUAUGAGUAAUAGCAACUUCUCACCACUGUCACAGCCACCAAUGGGAGAUUUAGCUUCCUCCAAGUCACCUCAAUUAAACAUACGCUCUAAAUAAAGCAGCAUGCUUGCUGGAGACAGAGCUUCAAAAAGUCCCCUAGAUCUCUUUCUCCUUCCAAACAUUUUGCUGCCCUGAAGCAUGUCAUAUAUAGAAAUGUUAUAGUUGCCUCUUUGUUCAUUCAUUCUUUCAAGGAUCUCCACAUUAUAUUGUUUGAUAAGAAGUGGAAUUAAUACUUUACACAAAUGCUUGCAUUUCCGUGCUAUUCCUUUCACUUCCUGAUCAUAGUGCACUCUGACUAUAAAAUGGAUUACGUGUUGUUCCUCCUAAUGCUUCAGUAUAUAGAGCCUCCCAUGGUAGGUGAUAUACUUGGGUGACUCUACAGGUUGCUUCGCGACUUCCAAAAGUUUUUUCUGAUAAUUUUGGAAGUGCUGCAUGAUUUAGAAAUGCUGAUUCACUUCAGUCUUUAGACACAUUGAAAAAAUAUAUUAUUUCUUCCUCAUUUUCAAAAUAUUACACAAAGAAGUUUGGAAAGUAAUAAUAAUCACUGUUCACUUGCAAAAUUCCUUUCUUCUAAAACAUUUUUAUAAUAAUUAAGUCAUUCUAUCUUUAUGAUACCCAACUAAAGAGGACAGCGGGCAAGCCCAUUUUACAGAUGGGAAAACAGAUGUUAAUUGCCUUGUCCAAGACUACAUAGUGAGAUAAGAUAAAAAAUGAAAGGGAAACUUGUCCUCCUAAAAUUUAUGUUCUUUCUCACCAUGGUGAUUAUUUCAGUUUGGAUUGAGAAGCCAAUUCAUAUAAUUUGGCUUUUUCUGUGCCUUUAAUUUCUACAUAUUAAAACCUAAUUGCAAGGUUAGACUGUGAUUUUGUCCUACGGGCACUAAAUUCCUCAUGUAAUAUGUACCUUUCUCUGCUGAAUCUUGAUAUUUUCUUAGAUUUUCAGUAUAGUUUGUCUUGAUUUGACUUGCAGUGCACUGCAAAUGAUAUAAUUUUAUUGUGGAAUAUAUGAGGCUGGAGGGCUGGGGAGAGGUCAGAGCUGAAAGUACAGGAAAUUUAAAUUACAUAAUGUUACACUUUGCAAUUGUUUCCACUUGUACUAAGUAUAAAGAUAGAUCCAUGGCAAUACACAACAGCAGGUAAGAAGUGUGUAUAAAGACUUUGCACCCUGAUAGUACCAUUUAUGUAUUCAUUUGGCAUAAACAUACCCAUUUGUGAAUAAACAAAGUCCAGGCCCUCAUGGUGCUUACAUUUUAGGAACAGAGUCCAAUAAUAAAUAUUGAUUACACAACAUAAUCAUGUAGUGAUAAGUGCUAUGAGAAAAAAAAGAAGCAGAGUAAGGGGACAGAGAAGGCAGAACUAUUUUAUAUAGUAGUAGGAAGGUUAAUUUAAAAGCCAGGAAGGUGGAGUCUUCCUGGCAGGUCUGAGAAACCUCAGGAGGGAGGUGGGUGUGGCUGAGGCAGAGUGAAUGGCAAAAGGUAAAAAACUGAACUGGUGAGUCAGGGCUGAAAGGACUUGAAAGGCUGGGAAAGGACUUUGGAUUUUAUUGCAGUGUGAUUAGAAGCACAGGGCCCUGGAGUGUUUUGGGCAAGAACAAGGACAUUAUCUUACCAAUGCUUUACAAUAAAUUCUCUGGUGGCUGUGUAGAGGCUAGACCGUGGAGGGGAAAAAGUGGAAGCAGGGUGAUGGUUCGUCUGUCCCAGUCACCCAGGAGAAAGAUCACGGGGAGGGCAGACAUGGGUGUUCGUGGUUAAGAGAGAAGGAUGCGAUUGGCUUCCGUACCAUUUGAAGGUAGGCUAAAAUGAACGUGGUGAUUGAAAGGAAG